AUGCAAGUCGAGCGAACAGAUAAGGAGCUUGCUCCUUUGACGUUAGCGGCGGACGGGUGAGUAACACGUGGGUAACCUACCUAUAAGACUGGAAUAACUCCGGGAAACCGGGGCUAAUGCCGGAUAACAUGUUGAACCGCAUGGUUCUACAGUGAAAGACGGUCUUGCUGUCACUUAUAGAUGGACCCGCGCCGUAUUAGCUAGUUGGUGGGGUAACGGCCUACCAAGGCGACGAUACGUAGCCGACCUGAGAGGGUGAUCGGCCACACUGGAACUGAGACACGGUCCAGACUCCUACGGGAGGCAGCAGUAGGGAAUCUUCCGCAAUGGGCGAAAGCCUGACGGAGCAACGCCGCGUGAGUGAUGAAGGUCUUCGGAUCGUAAAGCUCUGUUGUUAGGGAAGAACAAAUGUGUAAGUAACUGUGCACAUCUUGACGGUACCUAACCAGAA
rnacentral:rRNA from 1 species